ACGAACGCUGGCGGCAUGCCUAACACAUGCAAGUCGAACGAGACCUUCGGGUCUAGUGGCGCACGGGUGCGUAACGCGUGGGAACCUGCCCUUAGGUUCGGAAUAACUCCCCGAAAGGAGUGCUAAUACCGGAUAAUGUCUUCGGACCAAAGAUUUAUCGCCUUUGGAUGGGCCCGCGUUGGAUUAGCUAGUUGGUAGGGUAAAAGCCUACCAAGGCGACGAUCCAUAGCUGGUCUGAGAGGAUGAUCAGCCACACUGGGACUGAGACACGGCCCAGACUCCUACGGGAGGCAGCAGUGGGGAAUAUUGGACAAUGGGCGAAAGCCUGAUCCAGCAAUGCCGCGUGAGUGAUGAAGGCCUUAGGGUUGUAAAGCUCUUUUACCCGGGAUGAUAAUGACAGUACCGGGAGAAUAAGCUCCGGCUAACUCCGUG
rnacentral:rRNA from 1 species